rnacentral:snRNA from 1 species
CAUGGAAUGAUACAGAAAAAAUUUGCAUGGUCCCUGCACAAGGACAGCAGGCAUAUUUUUGAAACUCAUUUAGUAAAA